GGGAGGGAGUGGGAGAAAGAUGGGGAGGGGAGGGAGGGGAGAGAGGGAGAGAUGGGGAGAGGGAGGGAGUGGGAGAGAGGGAGAGAUGGGGAGAGGGAGGGAGGGAGAGAGGGAGAGAUGGGGAGAGGGAGGGAGUGGGAGAGAGGGAGAGAUGGGGAGAUAGAGGGAGUGGGAGAGAGGGAGAGAUGGGGAGAGAGAGGGAGUGGGAGAAAGGGAGAGAUGGGGAGAGAGAGGGAGUGGGAGAGAGGGAGAGAUGGGGAGAGAGGGAGUAGGAGAAAAUGAGAGAUGGGGAGAGAGAGGGAGUGGGAGAAAGUGAGAGAUGGGGAGAGAGAGGGUGGGGAGAAAAUGGGGAGAGGGAGGGAGUGGGAGAAAGAUGGGGAGAGGGAGGGAGUGGGGG
ensembl:lncRNA